UUUCAGCUCAUCGGAGUGAGAUGAUUAGAUAAAGAUGGAUGAAGAUAGCUGUUUCUUCGGCGAUGGCGGCACUCUAGCUACGUUUCACCGGAAGAGUAGAUGUUUACGAUUCUGGCUGUAUUCUGGAGCGUUUCCUCAUGGGCGUCGCAGUUCACACACGUCACGGAUUCCGCCGAAGGAGUCGAUAAUUAAAACUGAACUUUUG